rnacentral:ribozyme from 1 species
UGCCCAGGAACUCCUAAUCCUACCUGCUCACGGUACUGGCCGGGGUACGAGCAACCUUAGGGAAAUUAGGUAACCAACCAAUUGGGAACUCUGGGCGUAUGCUGACAGGGAAGG